rnacentral:ncRNA from 1 species
UCUUUAAUGAAAGGAUUUGACGGUCAACUCAAUAUGUCUACAUUACGAGAUACCAAAAGCUUUAUUAUAUAUAACUCUACAAAGUUGAACAUAGGCUGAGUCUCUAUGCCUUGAAUGGAGCACUGGAUUGGAUACCCGGGAAACCGGCGCUUCCAUUUAUAAGAAGUUAAAUUACUGGAAGCGUCUGUAAGGUUACAACACAAGUCACUGAUAAUUCUGAUGAAUAUUUCAAGUUACUGACAUCUGCCCGGCAUCAAUGAUAAACGGCGGCUGUAUUUUAAACGGUCCUAAGGUAGCAAAAUUCCUUGUCGGGUAAUCUCCGUCCUGCAUGAACGGUGUAACGACUUCCCCAUUGUCGCUAGUGUGAGACUCCUAAUAAAUAGAAUUAUCCAUGAAUAUGUGGAAUCAUACGGCCCGACGGUAAGACCCUGAGCACCUUAACUUCCCUAAAAGUUCUUAUGUGUUGGCAUGGUUACGAGAUUUAAGGAU